GACGAACGCUGGCGGCGUGCUUAACACAUGCAAGUCGAACGGAAAGGCCCUGCGUUUGUGGGGUGCUCGAGUGGCGAACGGGUGAGUAACACGUGAGUAACCUGCGCUUGACUUUCAGAUAGCUUCAGGAAACUGGGGCUAAUACCGGCUAGGAGAUCCUGCUGCAUGGUGGGGGUUGGAAAUUUUCGGCGGUUGGGGAUGGCCGCGCGGCUUAUCCGCUUGUUGGUGGGGAAGUGGCUUACCAAGGCUUGGCCGGAUAGCCGGACUGAGAGGGUGACCGGCCACAGUGGGCUUGGGAAGCGAGCCAGACUGCUACGGGAGGAAGCAGUGGGGAAUAUUGCACAAUGGGCGGAAGGCGGAUGCAGCAACGCAGCGUGCGGGAUGACGGCCUUCGGGUUGUAAACCGCUUGCGCCUGUGACGAAGCGUGGGUGACGGUAAUGGGUAAAGAAGCACCGGCUAACUACGUGCCAGCAGCCGCCGUAAGAC
rnacentral:rRNA from 1 species